rnacentral:rRNA from 1 species
UGAGGAAUAUUGGUCAAUGGGCGAGAGCCUGAACCAGCCAAGUAGCGUGCAGGAUGACGGCCCUAUGGGUUGUAAACUGCUUUUAUAUGGGAAUAAAGUGAGGGACGUGUCCCUUAUUGCAUGUACCAUACGAAUAAGGACCGGCUAAUUCCGUGCCAGCAGCCGCGGUAAUACGGAAGGUCCAGGCGUUAUCCGGAUUUAUUGGGUUUAAAGGGAGCGUAGGCUGUUUGUUAAGCGUGUUGUGAAAUGUAGGAGCUCAACUUUUAGAUUGCAGCGCGAAAUGUCAGACUUGAGUGCGCACAACGUAGGCGGAAUUCAUGGUGUAGCGGUGAAAUGCUUAGAUAUCAUGAAGAACUCCGAUUGCGAAGGCAGCUUACGGGAGCGCAACUGACGCUGAAGCUCGAAGGUGCGGGUAUCGAACAGG